ensembl:lncRNA
GAAAUGUAUGCAUGAAGUGAAAUAUCAGGGGCAUAUUUAUUUAGCCAAUGACUGAAAGAGUUAAAGGGGAAAUCUGCAGUUGCUACAUCAAUUUCCUGACUUUUAAAGGGGCUGAGUCACUGGCUUACUGAUGCUCUUCCAUGCGUCACUUGAGUGGGUUGAGUCACUGACAUGAUCUUCCUGUCCGUGGGUUGUGCCGUGGCGGAGAUCUUCGUGGGCUCGGCCUUGUCUCAGGAUGGACCUGAGCCUUAGGACCAUGCCUCAGGACUACCUGGCAUGAUGACUCCUUGCUUUCCCCAGUCCACCUGGUCAUGCUGCUGCUCCAGAUUCAACUGUUUUGCCUACGGCUAUGGAACCCUGACCUGUUCACUGGACGUGCUACCUGUCCCAGACCUGCUGUUUUCAACUCUCUAGAGACAGCAGGAGCGGUAGAGAUACUCUCAAUGAUCGGCUAUGAAAGCCAACUGACAUUUACUCCUGAGGUGCUGACUUGUUGCACCCUCGACAACUACUGUGAUUAUUAUUAUUUGACCAUGCUGGUCAUUUAUGAACAUUUUAACAUCUUGGCCAUGUUCUGUUAUAAUCUCCACCCGGCCACCCCUCAUAGCCUGGUUCCUCUCUAGGUUUCUUCCUAGAUUUUGGCCUUUCUAGGGAGUUUUUCCUAGCCACCGUGCUUCUACACCUGCAUUGCUUGAUCCUGUACAGUACUUUGAUAUAUCAGCUGAUGUAAGAAGGGCUAUAUAAAUACAUUUGAUUUGAUUUGAUUUUGUGUAGCCUAAAAACAUGGUCACAACUGUAAUUAUAUUAUCAUGGAUGGUCAGUCCUUUUAUCCAUUGCUUUGUCCAUGAGUUGAGUGAGUGAUUACAUUUCUCCAGCCCCAUCCCUCAGUGGUGGGGUGGACACUUUGUUAUUGUUGGAACUGCAUAGUUCCCCUUUAAGUACUGCACAUGUAAUAUUUUACUUAUUCAAGAUGGUUUAGAUCCCAAAUGUUUAGGUGCAAUUAGUCUAUAGAAUCUGUAUGAUUUAGAGAUGUGUGUAUAAUCACAGAUUAUGGGAAAUAACGUUAUACUGUAAGGGCUUGAUUUCUCCUUCUGUGAUGGUUGAACGGCUCAGCAUGUCUUUGGCCAAAAUAUGUAAAUAUAUGGAGUCAGCACUUCUUUUAACAGAAUCAUCUUAUAACCUCCUGUGAGGACUGGUGGGAAACACAGCAAUAUAGUAAUCCAUCAUGCGACAUCUCACUAUUAUUGUCUAUGUAAAGACAAUUGCUCCUUAUCAUAUUUCAAAGAGAGGCCGGUUCAUCUAUAGAGCUGCUUCUCCUUUAGAAGUGGUUAACAAGCUGCUUGGGUGGUGGCGUUCUGCUGAAAACGGAUAAUGGAGGAAACGAGGCUUAAAGGAAACAUGACUAUUGACAAAAGCUUUCGCAUAAACGUUAACAUAACACUGAGUCUGAACUCAAAAUAUGGAAAGUGUACUGGCGGAGUGUUGUUUCAACACGGCAUCCUGUCAUUGUAAGACUGGACUUGAUGGAAGAAAAUAGGAAAAGCAAACGGGCCAUCCGAAUCAGGCUCUUGUUUGGUCUCUUCUUACAAAAAUACAUUCCAUAUGUUUGUCUUUAUUUUCAUGUUAUAAAAUAUCACAUUCCUAUGGGUCAUAUACAGUACAAUAGCGAAGAAACAACUGUUGCUUAGCGAAACUCUGCUGUUAAAAUUGAAAUAUUAUUGAAUGUUGAAUAAACGUUCCCCUUUAGUCAUUCUAGUAAUGAAUGACCUUGAACUUAUCAUGCUCAUAUCAGCACAGACAUAUAGGAUAUUUAUGUAUUUAUUUUCAUGGAAUUAAAAAAUGUCACAUUCUGGAAACUGUACAAUGGUGAAGAAACACUUAGCAAAGCUUUGUUAAAUGUUGCUGAAUAUAUCUUGACCUUUAGUCAGUUUAGGAAAGAUGGACCGCCUUGUACUCAUCACACUCAGAGCAGCCAAUCAGUCAGACAGCUUCAUGUGGUUCCAGCUACUGGUCUUUGAAGUAAGAAUUCCUAUAGACAUCAGUUUAUCUUUCUGGUACCAGGGCAUACCUCACAUUCAUAAGAGGCCACCCAUGAAGACCUUCAUUUAUGUCUGUUUUGGUAUAGGUGGUUGGGGGGUGAACUUAAAUCCGGUGCACAAUACAUAUAUAGUACCAGUCAAAAGUUUGGACACCCCUCAAUCAAGGGUGUCACGUUCUGACCUUUAUUUCCUUUGUUUUGUCAUUAUUUAGUAUGGUCAGGGCGUGAAUUGGGGUGGGCAGUCUAUGUUUGUUUUUCUAUGAUUUGGAGAUUUCUAUGUUUCGGCCUAGUAUGGUUCUCAAUCAGAGGCAGGUGUCAUUAGUUGUCUCUGAUUGAGAAUCAUACUCAGGUAGCCUGGGUUUCACUGUGUGUUUGUGGGUGUUUGUUUCCGUGUCUGUGUUUUUCACCACACGGUACUGUUUUGGGUUUCGUUCAUUCCACGUUUA